GGCCUUGCUUUCCCAACUGCAAGUGAAGAUGUUCCCCAUUCAGCCUGCAGCUUAACUCUGUCCGAAAGGCUCUGCUGCACUUCUCAGGGUACUCCAGCUGCAUGCUGAGUAUUUGGGUCCAAGCAUGCAUUGCCUCUGAAUGGUGGUGGGAUGAGCCACCAGCCUGUGCUAGGCCACAGUUUUGCAUCCCCUUGAAUAACCUAGCCUCAGCACAGCCCUUCCCAGCUCCAAAAGCUUUAUUAUCCUGCAUAAAUGCUUCUGCAGAUGCUGCUCAAAUGCCAAAACAAGUUUGUCUGGCAUGAAGGCUUUGGGCAUCAGAGAGCAGUACAUGUGUGGAGCAUCAUCUCUCUUGAGACAAUUCCAAGCCCUCACACCUAUCUAGUGUCUCUUCUGCAUUCCACCCUGCUGCCUCUCAAGGCUCCUGGAAGAGAGGAGAUCUGCAGAAGGAGAUGAAGAAAGGUAGAGCCAGCAUCCUAAAAGGGGAAGCGACUCCUCUGCUUAUUUGAAAUGUUACUUAUAUUCUCUCUGAACUACAAACUGGUAAGAGAUGCCAGGUUAACAGCCUGUAAGACUGAAAUCUAUGUUUAUCCAAAAGCUACAGGAGAAAAAGAAGCUAUGUGGUUUGAUAUAUAUCCAGCUUUGACCUUCAAUAUUUUUCCAGCAGAAUGGCUACUUUGCUAGAAAACACUGUUCCAAGACAACAAAAGCCCUUCAAAAACUUGGAUCAAACACAGCAAAUAAUUUUGGCCAGAAGAAUAGAUGACAACACAGAAAAGUUGAAUAUUGAAUGUCAGUGUUUCUGAACUAUCACAGUUCGCUUUUCUCUUUGACCAAAAAAAGAUAAGUUUGAUAUUUCAAAAGUCAUAUAACUGGAUUAAAAGACUUAGCAGAAGCAUGUGUUUGGACUAGCAAAGUUGGAGUACUUCAGUGUUCACCAAAAGAGGCCAAUCAGCUUCAUCAGAGCUAACCCAAAAAGACAGCACCUUCAUAAGGUUACCCAAAGUUCAUGUGCUCAUCCUGUAAAAGUCUCUCUGCCUUCACUGGUUGUUCAUAAGGCUUUUGUAGACAGCCCAACUAAAUUAGACAUCUCUCUCAGCUACCAGAAAUUCAGUGGUGUGACCUUUGAACACAUGUCAUUCUGCUUGAAUUAAACAUUGCAGGCAGAGCUGAGAAGGAAAAUUUGUUUCACCA
rnacentral:lncRNA from 1 species